rnacentral:rRNA from 1 species
UACGUAGGGUGCAAGCGUUGUCCGGAAUUAUUGGGCGUAAAGGGUGCGUAGGCGGCGGGGUAAGUCGGAUGUGAAAUCCUGGGGCUCAACCCCAGAACUGCAUUCGAUACUGCCUUGCUCGAGUACUGGAGAGGAGACUGGAAUUUACGGUGUAGCAGUGAAAUGCGUAGAUAUCGUAAGGAAGACCAGUGGCGAAGGCGAGUCUCUGGACAGUUACUGACGCUGAGGCACGAAGGCCAGGGGAGCAAACGGG